AACGAACGCUGGCGGCAUGCCUAACACAUGCAAGUCGAACGAGAUCCUUCGGGGUCUAGUGGCGCACGGGUGCGUACCGCGUGGGAAUCUGCCCUUAGGUUCGCAAUAACAGUUAGAAAUGACUGCUAAUACCGGAUGAUCACGUUAAGUCCAAGAUUUAUCGCCUGAGGAUGAGCCCGGGUAAGAUUAUCUUGUUGGUGUGGUUAAGGCGCACCAAGGCGACGAUCCUUAGAUGGUCUGAGAGGAUGAGCAGUCACACUGAGACUGAGACACCGCCCAGACUCCUACGGGAGGCAGCAGUGGGGAAUAGUGGAAAAUGGGGGCAAGCCUGAUGCAGCAAUGACGCGUGAGUGAUGAAGGCCUUAGGGUUGUAAAGCUCUUUUACCCGAGAUGAUAAUGACAGUAUCGGGAGAAUAAGCCCCGGCUAACUCCGUG
rnacentral:rRNA from 1 species